rnacentral:rRNA from 1 species
GACGAACCGGCCGAACGUUAUUCGGAAUCAUUGGGCUUAAAGGGUGCGUAGGCGGUGCGGUAAGUUGGGUGUGAAAUCCCUCGGCUCAACCGAGGAACUGCGCUCAAUACUGCCGUGCUUGAGGAAGACAGAGGCGAGCGGAACUGAUGGUGGAGCGGUGAAAUGCGUUGAUAUCAUCAGGAACACCAGUGGCGAAAGCGGCUCGCUGGGUCUUUUCUGCCGCUGAGGCACGAAAGCUAGGGUAGCGAACAGG